ACGUAGUUAGCCGUGGCUUCCUCCUUUGGUACCGUCAUUAUCGUCCCAAAAGACAGAGUUUUACAAUCCGAAGACCGUCAUCACUCACGCGGCGUUGCUGCAUCAGGGUUUCCCCCAUUGUGCAAUAUUCCCC
rnacentral:rRNA from 1 species